UACGAAGGGGGCUAGCGUUGCUCGGAAUCACUGGGCGUAAAGGGUGCGUAGGCGGGUCUUUUAAGUCAGGGGGUGAAAUCCUGGAGCUCAACUCCAGAACUGCCUUUGAUACUGAAGAUCUUGAGUUCGGGAGAGGUGAGUGGAACUGCGAGUGUAGAGGUGAAAUUCGUAGAUAUUCGCAAGAACACCAGUGGCGAAGGCGGCUCACUGGCCCGGUACUGACGCUGAGGCACGAAAGCGUGGGGAGCAAACAGG
rnacentral:rRNA from 1 species